CAGAAAUCUAAAAGAUGAUACUUAAAUACUUGAGUUUGAGAGCCUCUAGUUAUAAGGUUUCCUACGUAACAACCUCUCACUUUUCUCAAAAACUGGCUAGUUGACAACCGGCAGUCAAGUUUUGGCUAGUCAAGAAGCUACUUUUUCCUGCAAUAAACCACAUUUAGAGAUAGUACUGGGCUUCAGCAGGAUUGAGGCUAUAUUGAGGUCGCAAGUAUGAACGAGGUACCCACAGAGAUGGGAGGGCCAGGAGAUCCUACUCAUUCAGUACCUCAGAAGCUAUGACACGGGAUAACAGUAGCUUCAGCCCUUUGGAUGAAAUAAUCCUCACUCCCUCAAAAGUGCUCUCUACCCACUCAAAACACAGGCCAUACUACCACCAAUCUGGUAGACUUCAAAAGUAAGGUCUUUCAGCAGCAGAUUUCCUUGUUAACAGGAAGGUACUGACAAGCUUUACCUAAGCCUAUUGGAGCUAUGUUGUAAUUCUGUAUAUAAAUAGAACAGUCGCUGCAGGAAUACUGGAUGAGUCAGAAGAAAGGUCUGUCCUAAGCUGAUGUGACACAUUUCAAAAGGACCAGAAAUUAGAUGCAAUUGAUGACUGAGUUGAUCUCUAAGUGGAUUUAUCUUUGAAAUAAAAAUCAGUGGAUAUCCCAUAUACCCGACCCCACACCCUCCCCCAUUGUCAACAUCCCCAACCAAAGUAGCACAUUUGCUACAAAUAGUGAACCUACAUUGCCAGAUCAUUAUCACCCAAAGUCCAUAGUUUACAUUAGGGUUCACUCUUGGGGCUGUAUAUUCUAUAGGGUUGGACAAAUAUAGAAUAACAUGAACCCACCCUCAUAGUAUCAUAGUAUCAUACAGAGUAUUUUCACUGCCCUAAAAGUCCUCUGUACACCACCUAUUUAUCCCUUCCUCCCCCCAGUCUCUGGCAGCCACUGAAGUUUGACUGUAUCCCUGUCUCCUUAGUUUUGCCUUUUCCGGAAUGCCAUAUAUAAGGAAUCAUACAGUAUGCAGUCUUUCUUUCAAUUUUGCUGUGAAACUAAAACUGCUAAGAAAAUAAAGUCUUAAAAAGAAAAAUCAAUGGAGAAGGGAAAGCCUAUGAUAAGAGGAGAUGAAUGCCUGCUAAAGCGACCAGAAGGCUCUCAGUAAAAAGUAUUCACUAGGUAUCAAUAGAAUCUGCAAAACGAAGAGGUGCUUGAAAGAUGUGAAAGAGGAAACUUAAAGAGAAACCCAGAUGGUACAUCUCUCUUCCUGGCUAGAUAGAUGGAAUGUACAGCCAGAGGAUUGGAUGAGGUCAUCGACGGAGAGAAUGCAGAGAGAAUCCUG
rnacentral:lncRNA from 1 species